CCGCACAAGCGGUGGAGCAUGUGGUUUAAUUCGAAGCAACGCGAAGAACCUUACCAGGUCUUGACAUCCUUUGACCACUCUAGAGAUAGAGCUUCCCCUUCGGGGGCAAAGUGACAGGUGGUGCAUGGUUGUCGUCAGCUCGUGUCGUGAGAUGUUGGGUUAAGUCCCGCAACGAGCGCAACCCUUAUUGUUAGUUGCCAUCAUUUAGUUGGGCACUCUAGCGAGACUGCCGGUGACAAACCGGAGGAAGGUGGGGAUGACGUCAAAUCAUCAUGCCCCUUAUGACCUGGGCUACACACGUGCUACAAUGGGAAGUACAACGAGUUGCGAAGUCGCGAGGCUAAGCUAAUCUCUUAAAGCUUCUCUCAGUUCGGAUUGUAGGCUGCAACUCGCCUACAUGAAGCCGGAAUCGCUUGUAAUCGCGGAUCAGCACGCCGCGGUGAAUACGUUCCCGGGCCUUGUACACACCGCCCGUCACACCACAAGAGUUUGUAACACCCGAAG
rnacentral:rRNA from 1 species